GCUGGUAUCUCGCGGAGCAGCUCCUGUGCCCUUCUGUGCUCGCCGGUCGUGCGUCCGGCUCCCCGUCUUCCCCUCCCUGUCACAGCGCCGCGCCGCACUCCUUUCCUUCAUUCCCAUACCACUCUGAACUUGUGCGCGUCGUGUGAGGUGUUCUCCCAGGGGCGCUCCGUGAGGGCCGGGGACCACCUGGGGCCGGGUUGCUCACGAGCCGGGCACAGUGCACUCUCCCUUUAGUUGUGUUUGGGGGACGAGUAUCGCGGGGGAGGGGAGGGAGUCACCAUGCCCGCCGGAAACCCCCCGCUGAGUCGUCCGCCCUGCACCUGCCUCGGAGCCCAUGGUUCGGACGUUUGCCCGAGCCGUUUCCCGGGGCCUUCCCUCCAGCUCCGAGCGUCUGGCCGUGUCCGCGGCGAUAGCAUCGCCCCGUUACGGCCUCUGCGGGAGGGGGAACUGAGGGGACGACGCGGGCUCUGGAAACAUUUCGGACCCGUUUCGGGCAGGCAUGAGUCUUCCGAGCGCCUUGUGAUUCCUCGGGGGGCUCAACGUCGAAAGAAAGGCGAGGGAGACUCUGGGGCCUGGGCCACGCUGUGCGGGAGUAAGAGGAGCCGAGGACGAGGCUGACGGCCGUGAAACUAGCCGAGUGCCACAAAGGACCUUCCCCUCACCGCCUCUGGCGCUCCUUUCCUUGCAGCCUGGAGGGCCGGCUCUGGCUCUGCGCAGGCGCGCGGGCGCAGCCCCUCUCCCAACUCUUGUUUGCUCUUUCUGGCCAGCGACCCCAGUGUGGGGCACGCGGGAGAGCCCCACAUUUCUUCUAGUCGCAGUCCCGCCGGCGUGGGGUGGCCCCUGACCGUGCAACGGGCGCAAGGCUCGCACCCACUACGGCCCCUCGGGCGGCGGAGCGAGGCUCCGCGAACCCGGGACUGGGCGCGCCAGGCCCGCGCGCUGAGGCCCCCUCCCCCGGCUCUGGCCACGCGGGCUGCUCUGCCUCUGUGAGUGUGCGGGACACAGAGCCAGGGGGAGGGAGGGCCGUGUUCUGCGGUCACAGGCAGACAGGAGUGCCGGAAGAUGCAGUCUGGAGCCCCCGGGGGACUGUGAGUGAGGUCUUCUCCCCGGUCCCUCCUUAGAUCUCCCAUUUCCCAGUUCUCCCCUCCCGCCCACACCUUUUUUGUCAUUCCAGACGGUUCCGGCCCAGCAGCAGCCGCCAUCCCCACGUUGGGUGGCGAGAUCCGAAAGUUUCCAGCUACGAACAGUUUGCUUUUUUUUUUUCCUUGAUCGCUUUUUUUGGCAAGGGCGGAGAGCACCAGUAGCGUGGGGGGUUUAAAUGCACUUUCCCUGAAUGCAACAGAGAAAUGCCGGGCUGGAGGGCAAACUCCACCGGGACAGGGAGGCGGGAGAUAGCCUGAGCGCCCCCCCAUCCCCCACACUCUGAGCGUCGCAACCCCGGGGGCACCUCCAGGGACUACUUGCCUUGUGCGUCAGCGAGUGACAGCGUCACACACACGCCCCCUCCCGCACAUGCCCGCUGCACCCUCCCUUUCCCCCUCCCCUUCCCUUCUCUCUUUUCCCCUAGCUCUUCCCACCAGGCAGAGAGGCUCAGCCGACCCACACGCUCCCAGAGCACUGAAAGCUAAAAAUAUAGCCGGUGUGUUAGCAACAGCCUUCCCAUUGGUCGGGGGAAAGGGAGAAGCGGUGUCUGAUUGGGUUUAGGAUCCAGCCGCUAAGACUGGGCCCUUGGGAGUGUGCGUUUGCGCCAGCGGGCACGGCAAGGGAUGCUGGUAUUUGUAGUCAUUGAUUAAGGCAGCCAUGUAAAUAGGUGGGUUUACAUCCCAGUUCGGCUACCGACUGUGUGAUCUUGAUUUAAUGCAGCAAAACGCUUGACAUCACCAAACCUCAGUUUCCCCAUCUAUAAAAUGGAGCUCGUGUCGGGGAUUAAAUAUGAUGCUGUAUGUAAAGCCUGGCUCAAAUCGUUGCUAUUCUUAAUUUAAAGAUUAGUGUUUGGGCCAAAUUGCCUCUGCACAUCCUGCAUAUCCUGGGCUGAGUAUGGUGUCCACUCUCCAAUGUGAAACUUCUGACAAUGGUAAAGGUGAAGGUGAGCUGAAGCGAGUUGUCCUACGGCAUCUUAGGAGGAACAGCUGGAGUACAUAUAAGCAGUUAGAGGGUAGACGUCUUCUACCAUUCCGGACAGGUUGAGGGAGGGCGGACUGAAUCCUUGGAAGGAAGGCCAUGAGUUUCUGCAUGUUUGUGCGUUUAAUAGAAUCUCUUCUGCAACGCUGGAAAGACAUCAGCCCUGAGUAGCAUCAUUAGAAUGAAAUGAGAAAUCCAGCCUCCUUGGUGGGAGCUCUGGGUAAAAGGUUAGCAUAUAAGUAGGAAAAGAUAAAAUCGAGGGGAAAAAACGUAACCGCCCUUCUCAACUGCUGAUGUCUCCAUUUAUCAUGUGGUGAUGAAGUUUUUUUUUCCUUCCCAGUGUGUGAUUACAUCUUGCCAGGGCUUAAUUGUGAGCUGAAUGCCUACUCAGGCAUUCCAGAUUCCCCUCCCAUUUUGAAUAAUCAUAUGUUGAACGGCAUGCACCGUGCUUGCAAAAUAGUGAGCUCCAUGAGCAAGCAAGUGAGGCAGGGAGAAGGUGGGGGCACAUCACCUGUCUGAGAGUAAGCAAGAUGUGACGCCAUGACAAGUCAGGCUGGUCAUAAUUGGCCCCAGUUAACUCGCAUAGAUGCGUCACCCUUUCAUACACACUCCAGGGCAAGAAAUUUUGUAUUGUUUCUUUGAAGUUAUCCAAGAAAAUACUUCCUCAAUUUGAUCUCUUCAGCAGGUGCAAAGGAAGAAACUGGCUUUGGGGAAGCGUGGUUGCCUACUUAAGAAAAAUUAUUUUUAAAAAAUUUUUAUUUAUUAUUUAUUUUGAGACGGAGUCUUGCUCUGUUGCCCAGGCUGGAGUGCAGUGGCAUGAUCUCGGCUCA
rnacentral:lncRNA from 1 species